rnacentral:lncRNA from 1 species
GGAGUCCGGAAGCUAAUGCUUAGAGGACCUACAACAAACUUUUGAGUGUCUUGUAUUACAAAAUAGAUCUCUGGAAACUAUGAGAAAAAAUAUUAUUUCAUUUAGAUGCUGUGAGUACACUUUAUGAGAAAGGAAAAGAAAAGGACAAAAUAUUAAGACAUGAUAUACAAUUUAAGCUUUCAUAUCCAAUGAUUAUUUAAACAUGGUAAUCGAGAUAAGUUUGUCCCUUCAAAUACCCUAAGUUUCCUGAUGGAUGAAAUAAGCUUUUGGGUUCAAGUAAACCAAAAGAAGAGGAGAGCAAACCAAAAGAAAACUUGCUCUAGCAUUUGCCCCUUCAAAGCCACAUAUUGCUUAUGCUUCUACUCCAUGUUUUCCUUGCUUAAAGUGAAAUAAAGCUAAUAUAUUAUUAGAAUGGGGAUCUAUCUUAGAAAAUUCAUUCAAUGGCUACUGCCCCUUCAAAGCCACACGUUGCUUCUGCUUCGGCUUCGGCUUCUACCCCUCCAUGCCCUUCAUGCUCGAUGUGAAACAAAGCCAUCGUGUUGGAUUGGGGAUGCAUUCUAGAGAAGUCAUUCUAUGGCAACAGCUUGCUUCUGCUUCUGCUCAUCCAUUCUAUUCAAGCUUUACCUGAAACAAAGCAAGCACAGAAAUGGGGGCAAGGAGCAUAUUCCAUUCCCAGACGAUUCGCAUAGAAUAGGCUCCUCUUCUCCUUGCCCCGUCUAGGCUCCUCUUCUCCUUGCCCUAAAGGCCCCCGCCUCUUGGUUCCACGCGGAUGCUGUCCGCAUAGCACGUUCUCCGCGGACCAAGACAGAAUGGUAGGUUCUCUGCGGAAGCGUCCGCAUAGCAGGUCCUCCGCAUAAUAACUUCUAUGCGGGAUCUGCCCGCAUAUUAGGUACUAUGCGGAAUCUGUCCGCAUAAACGGCUUGUCCAAUAUAACCUUCUAUGCGGAAACAGUACGCAUAUAACCAUUUAUGCGAAAUCAGUCCGUACAGACCGUUUGUCCGCAUAGGACCUUCUAUGCGGAUUGUGUCCACAUAAACGGUUUGUCCGCAUAAGACCUUCUAUGCGGAAUCAGUCCGCAUAAACGGACUGUCCGCAGACAACCUUCUGUGCGGAUUGUGUCCGCAUAAACAACUGUCCGCAUACAACCUUCUAUGCGGAUUAUGUCCGCAUAACCAGUUUUCCACAGUAGGACCUUCUAUGCGGAUUGUGUCCGCCUAGUAGGUCCUAUGAGGACAGAUUCCGCAUAGUAGGUCGUAUGCGGAUAAAGUAUGAAUAAACAAGUACGCAAAGUAGUUUUGCACUUAGGGCUAGUUUGGUUUGCGAAAAUAUUUUUCCUCCUAAAAAUAUAAUUUCUGAAAAACAAAUUUUAAUAAAAAAAAUGCCUAAAAAAAAUAUUUUUAACAUGUUUGAUUAGCCUUUUUCUAAAAAAAUAUUUUUAGCAUAUUUAGUUGAUAAUAAAAAAAUAAUAAAUUUUUAAAAUAUUUAUUUUAGUUGGCCAUUCACUUUCUUAAAAAAAUUAUAUAUAAUUUCUAUAAUACCUUUAAUAAAAAUUAAAUCUUUAAUAAUUUUUUAAUGCUUCUUUAGUACUGAACGAUUUUUUGAAAAAAAUAAAAAUAAAAUAAUUCCCGUCUUACUUUUCCAUGUUUCUCAUAGAAAAAACUUUUCUAUAAAAUAUAGAAAUCAUAUUCCAAUGAAAAUACAAAUUUCUUAUCUCUCUUGA